rnacentral:rRNA from 1 species
AAGAAGCAAGACUGUGAGGUGGAGCAAAACUCAAAAACUUGUCUCAGUUCGGAUUGUAGGCUGAAACUCGCCUACAUGAAGCUGGAGUUGCUAGUAAUCGCGAAUCAGCAUGUCGCGGUGAAUACGUUCCCGGGCCUUGUACACACCGCCCGUCACACCAUGAGAGUUGGCAAUACCCAACGUACGUGAUCUAACCCGCAAGGGAGGAAGCGUCCUAAGGUAGGGUCAGCGAUUGGGGUGAAGUCGUAACAAGGUACC